rnacentral:rRNA from 1 species
GUUUGAUCCUGGCUCAGGACGAACGCUGGCGGCAUGCCUAAUACAUGCAAGUCGAACGCCAAAUCUUCCUGCUUGCAGGAAGAGGCGGAGUGGCGAACGGGUGAGUAACACGUGAGGAACUUGCCCAUAAGAGGGGGAUAACACCCGGAAACGGGUGCUAAUACCGCAUAGGUUUUCCCAGUGCAUGCUGGGAAAAUAAAAGGUGGCUCUGCUACCGCUUAUGGAUAGCCUCGCGGCGCAUUAGCUAGUUGGUAGGGUAAAGGCCUACCAAGGCCAUGAUGCGUAGCCGACUUGAGAGGGUGAUCGGCCACACUGGAACUGAGACACGGUCCAGACUCCUACGGGAGGCAGCAGUAGGGAAUCUUCCACAAUGGGUGCAAGCCUGAUGGAGCAAUGCCGCGUGAGUGAAGAAGGACUUCGGUUCGUAAAGCUCUGUUGUCGGGGAAGAACACGGAUAGGAGUCACUGCCUAUCCCUUGACGGUACCCAACCAGAAAGUCACGGCUAACUACGUGCCAGCAGCCGCGGUAAUACGUAGGUGACAAGCGUUGUCCGGAUUUAUUGGGCGUAAAGCGAGCGCAGGCGGUCCGGUAAGUCUGAUGUGAAAGCCCACGGCUCAACCGUGGAACGGCAUUGGAAACUGGCGGACUUGAAUGUAGCAGAGGAAAGUGGAAUUCCAUGUGUAGCGGUGGAAUGCGUAGAUAUAUGGAGGAACACCAGUGGCGAAAGCGACUUUCUGGGCUAUGAUUGACGCUGAGGCUCGAAAGCGUGGGGAGCGAACAGGAUUGGAUAG